UUUUUUUUUUUAAAAUUUUAAUUCAUCAGGCUGGAGCAGAGUUUAAACCAAGCUGGAGUUACCAUUCCAGCUCUGGCCACAACCUGAUCUCUACAUCUUGGCCUUCUUUGCAUUGUCUGGAAGCUGACUCACUUCACUCAAGGGCCUAGUUCAACCGCAGUCAUGCUUUCUGCAAGUUUGAGCAUCCCUCGCUCCUGGUGCUGGCAAUGCCACUCAGUCAUGGACUGGAGCAUCCACUUGGUCCGGCACUUGCACAAAUAGAAGCCGUAAACGACAACCUCGGUGAGGUCUGAAGACUCCAGAGCCUUCAGCAUGAGCAUGAUCUUGCUCACCUGCUCGAUGUAAGGGAUUUGAGAUCCGUCCGGGCCGAACAUGGCUUCCAGCAGCCGCAUCUGGACCAGGAGCACCUCUGGAUCUUUCAAAUCCUCAGGAAGUUUCACCCAUGGCAGGGUAUUUCUACGUCUGGGAUUGUUCCCACCUUGUAACCCUCACAACAAAAACUAUGCUCCUGCGCGAACCGGGCGUAAGCGUUCAUCAGAAUUUUCAAUUCCCACCAAAUGUAUGAAGAUUACAAUUUCUCCACAACCUUGCUUGUGAAGCAGGUUCACUGCACACUGGUUACCAAUGUGUUUGAGUUGAGUGAGAAAUCUUCCCGUGCACACACAGUAAGUUACAGGAAGUGAAUUUCUUACUUACAGAUUGGCAGCAAGGGACAACAGAUGCCUGGGGUUCGUGCAUGCUGCUCCCGAAGGUUCAGGAAAACCACCCAGUGCAGAUUUAGUCUCUGUGUGUGCUCCACUUGCAUCACAGCUGAGGGAGGCUGGAAGGCAGCCCAGCCCAAGUUUCAUGCUCCAGGGAUGUAUGGUGCGUUUGCCUAAAACAAUGAAGGGCAUCCUGUUCUGGGGGGACUGGAACAGAUCCUGCCCUUCUCUGGUCAGGGUGUACAGGAUCCUGUCCUUCCUCUCAGGAUGUUGCUUUUCUAGAACAUUCUAUAUUCAUUCUUUUGAACUACAAGUGAGAAGUCAGACGCAACUGGGCCAGUUCAACCCCACUUGAGUGCUGUCUUGCAGUCUCCCCACC
rnacentral:lncRNA from 1 species